ACCCACGUGAACCGCCCCCCUCCACCUUCCUCAUGCCAUUCCUCAUCUCUUCCCUCCUACUCCACUGCCACCUGGAAAGGCCUAUCUCCUGUCCACCCGGCAAGGCUACCUACCCCUCCAAAGUCCUCCCAAGCUCCAUCCCCUCUCUGAGGUCUCUGCUGACUACUUAAGUGACCUUUUCCAACACUCACACUGCAGUGGCAGCAUGUGUUCAGUUCGUGUCAUCCCUGGAGCCACCUCCAAACCGGGGGAGGAGAAUGGUUUGUGAACUCUGCCUGUGGGAUUGGUCUCCCCAGCGUGAUCUUUUAAGUUCAGGGAGGGCAGAAAGUGAAAUUUCCCACAAUGCCUAGCAAAAGGCAAUGUAAAUGACAGACCCAUGCUAACUACUUACUAAACAAAGAGUAAGAACGGGACCUCCUUCAGUCAUUUGUCAUUUACAUAGUUACUAUCGUUAAGCCUGUAAGAGACUGCAGAGAACAGGACAGACCCAGGAGUUGCAAGACUGGAUGAACUCACCAAGCAUAAGGAACCCCGCCUGGGAAGGCAAAUAUGGCUGAAAGCGGAGCAUUGGGAGGAAAGGGCAGAGAAGGAAGAAGGGAGGUCUCAGCUUAUUCAUCUAGAAGAAAAAAGUCUGGACUGGACACUGGUUCACAAAGUGUCCCCAGACCAGCACCAUCAGCACCACCAGGGAACCUACCAGAAAUGCAAUUCUGAGCCCUCCUAGACCUGCUACAUCAGAAUCCCAGUGGUGAGCCUAGCCAUCUGUGUUUUAACAAGCUCAAGUUUGAGAACUGCUGGACAAGAUGGUCUGGAGAGUCCCUUGAAAAGAAGAAAGUUUUACUUCGUAGAGUGGUGUGUAAAGGCCUCACAAGGCCCUCCCACAUCUCGCCCUCAGUGCCCAUCUCCUGAGACAACAAGGCCUUCUCAUAUGAAUAAACUGCUAGAAAUGUU